rnacentral:rRNA from 1 species
AACGAACGCUGGCGGCAUGCCUAACACAUGCAAGUCGAACGAGACCUUCGGGUCUAGUGGCGCACGGGUGCGUAACGCGUGGGAACCUGCCCUUAGGUUCGGAAUAACUCCCCGAAAGGGGUGCUAAUACCGGAUAAUGUCUUCGGACCAAAGAUUUAUCGCCUUUGGAUGGGCCCGCGUUGGAUUAGCUAGUUGGUAGGGUAAAAGCCUACCAAGGCGACGAUCCAUAGCUGGUCUGAGAGGAUGAUCAGCCACACUGGGACUGAGACACGGCCCAGACUCCUACGGGAGGCAGCAGUGGGGAAUAUUGGACAAUGGGCGAAAGCCUGAUCCAGCAAUGCCGCGUGAGUGAUGAAGGCCUUGGGUUGUAAAGCUCUUUUACCCGGGAUGAUAAUGACAGUACCGGGAGAAUAAGCUCCGGCUAACUCCGUG